rnacentral:rRNA from 1 species
AGCGAACGCUGGCGGCAGGCCUAACACAUGCAAGUCGAACGAACUCUUCGGAGUUAGUGGCGGACGGGUGAGUAACACGUGGGAACGUGCCUUUAGGUUCGGAAUAACUCAGGGAAACUUGAGCUAAUACCGGAUGUGCCCUUCGGGGGAAAGAUUUAUCGCCUUUAGAGCGGCCCGCGUCUGAUUAGCUAGUUGGUGAGGUAAAGGCUCACCAAGGCGACGAUCAGUAGCUGGUCUGAGAGGAUGAUCAGCCACAUUGGGACUGAGACACGGCCCAAACUCCUACGGGAGGCAGCAGUGGGGAAUCUUGCGCAAUGGGCGAAGGCCUGACGCAGCCAGGCCGCGUGAAUGAUGAAGGUCUUAGGAUUGUAAAAUUCUUUCACCGGGGACGAUAAUGACGGUACCCGGAGAAGAAGCCCCGGCUAACUUCGUG